UGAUAGUAUCAGAAGAGGAAGGGACGGCUAACUCUGUGCCAGCAGCCGCGGUAAUACAGAGGUCUCAAGCGUUGUUCGGAUUCAUUGGGCGUAAAGGGUGCGUAGGUGGCGCGCUAAGUCAGGUGUGAAAUUUCGGAGCUUAACUCCGAAACUGCAUUUGAUACUGGCGUGCUUGAGGACUGGAGAGGAGACUGGAAUUCACGGUGUAGCAGUGAAAUGCGUAGAUAUCGUGAGGAAGACCAGUGGCGAAGGCGGGUCUCUGGACAGUUCCUGACACUGAGGCACGAAGGCCAGGGGAGCAAACGGGAUUAGAUACCCCGGUAGUCCUGGCAGUAAACGGUGCACGUUUGGUGUGGGAGGAUUCGACCCCUUCUGCGCCGGAGCUAACGCGUUAAACGUGCCGCCUGGGGAGUACGGUCGCAAGAUUAAAACUCAAAGAAAUUGACGGGGGCCCGCACAAGCGGUGGAGUAUGUGGCUUAAUUCGAUGCAACGCGAAGAACCUUACCUGGCCUUGACAUGCAUCUCUAAGCGCGUGAAAGCGCGUGACUCCCGAAAGGGAGAAUUUGCACAGG
rnacentral:rRNA from 1 species